UUGGACGUAAUAUAUGUGGCAAUUUUCGAGGUAUUCCACUUGAAAUGAACUAGGAACGUUCGUACGUUAUCUAAAUUCUUUUUCUUUUCACUUUUCUCUGUUGACAAGUCUACAACUUUUUGGUAUAAAUAAUUAUCUUCAUCUACAAAUUGCUCCAUUCUGCUUCCAAAAUAUUCUUGAGCUUGUUCUCCCUUCAUCUUCUAAUAUCACAAUCUCACAACCAAAAAGGGGGGAAAAAUGGUCUUCUCUAGUUCGUUCAAAUUGCUGGCCAUGGCUCUUGUUUUAGCAGUCAUGUUGCUCAUGUCCUCUAAGAUAGUUGAAGCAACACCAAAUUUCAAACUCGGGCGAAGGGCUCUUGAUAAUGUACCACCAUAUUGGGGUCGCUACCCAGUGCCGCCCGAAAUUCCAAGAAGUGGAGGCCACCACACUCCCUCACCAUAAUUGCCAAGGUGGAUGCAAAGCAGAUCUGGAGAGGAACAUGGAGUCUGAAGAUGCCAUAUGCUACUGCCAGAUCAUUAAUAUCUACUAUUUGAAGACAUGUUUUAGACGUUUCUUUUAUGCAUGCAUGUUGUGCCAUGUUUGAUGGCUAAAUAAGAUAUGUUUAAGGUUCAAUUAUUCUGGUCUUAUAGUACAUGUAGUAUGCUUAAAUAAAAUAUUAGAAAGAUAUUAAAUGCAAUACUAUGUUUAGAGUUUGGCAUUGUAAUGACUUGAGUUGAGUAUAAUCAAGUGAACAAAUAGGAUUCACUAUUGGAAUAAAUGAAGAGUAAAUGUCUUCCAAAGAA